GGAGAGGAGAAGGGUGUGCUAGGCUCCUCUCUGAAAGGUGAUAGGAGUCCACCCUUUUUUGCAGGGCACUGGAGUGCCAUGAGAGCUGUUCUCCUGGACUCUGCCCAGGGGCCUCAGCCUAAGAGCUCUACUGAGAAGUGAUUCCUCUGAGGACACUCCCCAUGCGUGUCUGAUGGCUCCAUACAAGUCAAAAGAAGACUCCUGAGGAGUGCUUGUCAUGUCUACACACCAGACAGGAAGAAGACAAGCUUCCCUCCAGCUGUGAGAGCAUGAACAAGAAGUCGGCUCAUCUUGGCAGGGGUCUCUCGAGAGGCGUGGUCUCAGGUGGAGGAGGAGUUCCCAUGGAUCUGAGGCGCUCACUCCGGCUUCAUCUGCUCCUCACCAAUUACAGUUACAAAGACACUCCUCCUGAGGAAGACCACAUUUCCCAAGUAUCUGGAGUCAACAUUCAGACCACGGUUUGCUGAAGACAAGGAAAUGAAUGCCAAAUGUUCAAUGACCUCACUGAGCUCUUCUGAAGGGCCCUGGCUCACCUGCGGGGCCCUGGCUACCAGCAAUGUCUGGGCUUCUUUAUAGUAGUCCUGGUUAGACCCCUGCUGUCUCUGGUCCCUCUCCACAACCACUGCUUCUCUGUGACACUGGAGUGGUAAGUUUAGCUUACCCAGCUAACACAACUCAGAUCAACAAUAUGGCGUGGACAUAAACCCAUCCAGAGACCAGAGCCAUAGCCCAUUUUGGCUCAUAACACCCUGGGGUCACUAAGGGAGGGACAAAACUUCAUUUGUCACCUGUUGAUGGAUUGGAUUUAAAAACUGCCCACGAAAAUA
rnacentral:lncRNA from 1 species